UGGCAAUGAUGACAAAUGGCCGGUCUUACGGCUGCCAUUUACUUUUUUGGUAGUAGGUUGAUUAUUGAUUUCGUGAAAGUGUCUUCUUCUAAGCCGA